rfam:Triticum aestivum genome assembly, contig: Triticum_aestivum_CS42_TGACv1_scaffold_577319_7BL
GGAGAGAUGGUGAGUGGUUGAUAGCUCCGGUCUUGAAAACCGGUAUAGUUCUAGGAACUAUCGAGGGUUCGAAUCCCUCUCUCUCCU